CACAAGAAGAACAAAUUCCAGGAAACAAUUUCUCUGUGGAAACAAGAGGAAAUCUUGUAAAAAAUGUGUGUUAUUUACCAACUAACAUUUCCUUUGUACAAAAUCCUCCUCAGCUUAGAACAGCUACAGAAGCUCAAGAACUGAAGAAAGAACUGAAUCUUCUGACAUUGAAACUGCAGCCUAACAGGUAACACUGAGACUCCUUCCUCAGCUUCAGGACAGGAAUGUCCCCACGGACACAGCUUCAACCUGCUCCCAAAGGCAAAUGCCAUCAAACUGAGGCUCAGUGGUUGAGGCCCCAGGCAUGGUUUGAAGAGCAGCACGGAGCUGUCCCAGCGCCCAGCCGAGCCGAGGGGAGCAGCCCACGGCCAGCUCCGCACACAGGCUCCCGGUGCCACCCGUCCUGCCAGGGCAGCAGCACUUACACAGCCCUG